rnacentral:rRNA from 1 species
GUAGGGAAUAUUGGGCAAUGGAUGCAAGUCUGACCCAGCCAUCCCGCGUGCCGGAAGAAGGCCCUCAGGGUUGUAAACGGCUUUUGACGGUGAAGAAUCGACAGGAUGCGUCCUUUUUUGACGGUAGCCGUUGAAUAAGCACCGGCUAACUCCGUGCCAGCAGCCGCGGUAAUACGGAGGGUGCGAGCGUUGUCCGGAUUUAUUGGGUUUAAAGGGUGCGUAGGCUGGAAGGUCAGUCAGCGGUGAAAAGCUGUCGCUUAACGAUAGUCUUGCCGCAGAUACUUCCUUUCUUGGAUGAGGAGGAGGCCACUGGAACGGAUGGUGUAGCGGUGAAAUGCAUAGAUAUCAUCCAGAACACCGAUUGCGAAGGCAGGUGGCUGUACCUUAAUCGACGCUGAUGCACGAAAGCAUGGGGAGCAAACAGGAUUAGAAACCCUUGUAGUCC